rnacentral:lncRNA from 1 species
CAUGCUUUUGCUUGCUACCCAGCUUAGCCUCUUAUCUCAACUCCUAAAACAUUCUUCAGUCUUCUGAAGUUAAUACAGAACUUGAUGAGGAAGAUGCCAGUAUCUUACCUGGAAUUCACAAAACCCUAGCCAACCCUAACUCACAAGGGCCUGCACACCAUUUAAUCCAGCAAAAUUAACUCAAGAGCAUGUGGGACCUGAAACCCAGUCUCUGCAUAUUACUGCAAGUGCUUCAAGCAAAGAAAAGAACCUGAUUUCACAUUUGAGAUUCAUUUUAAACCAAAGGUCUGUUCUGGUACCUCCACAAGGAAGCAUCAAUCAGACCACAGAAAGUUUACAUCCAGGGAUUUGUCUUCUGGAGUGGAUCUCACUGACCUACAAGAACUGAAUUUGCCCAUGUCUUCGCAACACCUUGUUAGUGAUAUCAAAUCAGGAGAUUGAAGUGAGCUAUAGUGAGAGUAUGGACACCACAGAAAUUGACAUACAUAUCAAGGCUUUUUCUUUAUU